rnacentral:rRNA from 1 species
GAUGAACGCUGGCGGCGUGCCUAAUACAUGCAAGUCGAGCGAACGGACGAGACGCUUGCUUCUCUGAUGUUAGCGGCGGACGUGUGAGUAACACGUGGAUCACCUACCUAUCAGACUGGUAUAACUUCGGGACACCGGCGCUAAUACCGUAUAAUCUUUUGCACCGCAUUGUUCAAAAGUGAAAGACGGUCUUUCUGUCACUUCUCGAUGGAUCCGCGCUGCAUUAGCUAGUUGGUAAGGUAACGGCUUACCAAGGCAACGAUGCAUAGCCGACCUGAGAGGGUGAGCGGCCAGACUGGAACUGAGACACGGUACAGAGGCCUAGGGGAGGCAGCAGUAGGGAAUCGGCAGCAAUGGGCGAAAGCAUGACGGAGUAACGACGCGUGAGUGAUGAAGGUCUUCGGAUCGGAAAACUCUGUUAUGAGGGAAGAACAUAUGUGGAAGUAACGGUGCACAGCGUGACGGUAAAUAAUCAGAAAGCCACGGCUAACUACGUG